rnacentral:rRNA from 1 species
UGAGUAACGCGUGGGAACAUACCCUUUUCUACGGAAUAGCUCUGGGAAACUGGAAUUAAUACCGUAUACGCCCUACGGGGGAAAGAUUUAUCGGGGAAGGAUUGGCCCGCGUUGGAUUAGCUAGUUGGUGGGGUAAAGGCCUACCAAGGCGACGAUCCAUAGCUGGUCUGAGAGGAUGAUCAGCCACAUUGGGACUGAGACACGGCCCAAACUCCUACGGGAGGCAGCAGUGGGGAAUAUUGGACAAUGGGCGCAAGCCUGAUCCAGCCAUGCCGCGUGAGUGAUGAAGGCCUUAGGGUUGUAAAGCUCUUUCACCGAUGAAGAUAAUGACGGUAGUCGGAGAAGAAGCCCCGGCUAACUUCGUGCCAGCAGCCGCGGUAAUACGAAGGGGGCUAGCGUUGUUCGGAAUUACUGGGCGUAAAGCG